rnacentral:rRNA from 1 species
GACGUAGGGGGCGAGCGUUGUCCGGAUUCAUUGGGCGUAAAGCGCGCGCAGGCGGCCCGGUAAGUCGGAUGUGAAAUCCCACGGCUCAACCGUGGAACUGCAUUCGAUACUGUCGGGCUAGAGGCAGGUAGGGGAGAUCGGAAUUCCUGGUGUAGCGGUGAAAUGCGCAGAUAUCAGGAGGAACACCGGUGGCGAAGGCAGCUCGCUGGGACGUUACUGACGCUGAGACGCGAAAGCGUGGGGAGCAAACAGG